ensembl:snRNA U4 U4 spliceosomal RNA
AGCUUCGUACACGGGCAGUACAGUAGACAGUGAGGUUUAGCCAAGGCACAAUUACAGCUAAUUGAAACUAAUGCAUUGAUACAGCAGUACUACAAAUCAAUAUCCAAUUUUUCACUUCCUGAAAAUGA